rnacentral:lncRNA from 1 species
GAGGAGCGAGCAGGAGGGCGUGGGCGGUGUGAGAGAAGAAAGGUGAGGUCGGGGAGCCUAAAGGAGCCCAGCCCUGGCGCCGGAUGUCUCUGUCGUAUUGGUUUCUGACUUCGCUAGGGAUAUGAGACUAUGAAGGGAGAAGCGCUUCUGGACCACUCUCCGUGUACCGAGAAGCCAGAGCUGGAGAGAGAGCUACGCUUAAGGUUUUGGAGAGUCGGGGUUUGCCAGUCAUCACCUCCGCCCCCAUGUGCACACUGAAGCAAAAUAAGUCAGCCCUGCGUAGAAAAUAGAAACCUUUUCUUAGAGAGUUCUUUGUUCGGAUUUUACUAAGCCAGAACUGGAGCCGAUCUUCCCCACCACCCUAUGUCAAGUAUAUGGUAUAUUACAUACGAGUAUGUUCAAAGGCAGUGAUCAAAAGGAAAGGUCCUUCUUACCUUGGACACGACCUGUAGGAUCAACUGUCAAUCAAAUUCUCUAGCUCUUUACAUGUAGAGCAUCAAUGCUUCUCAAGAAUGAACAUUCUAAGCACUGCUCCUGCCUGAGACUACAUCCCUGGAGAAACUCCCUGUGGGCCAAGUGGACCAUGCCACGGGUCAGAAGAAUUAGUAGAGUUGAGUGAGCUCAAACUCCGUAAACCUCAGAGUUGAGAAUGGUAGGAGUGGGGCCAACCCCCUGCCUAACUCUACGUGCCCUGAAUCAU